rnacentral:tRNA from 1 species
GUCCCCCUUCGUCUAGAGGCCCGGGGACACCGCCCUUUCACGGCGGUAACAGGGGUUCGAAUCCCCCUAGGGGGACGCCA